CGCUGUUCGGAUCGAUCUCCGAACGCAUGAAAUCGAGCAUCUCUUCCGCGUAGGUGGGAAGCAGAAUAUCGAAGAUUUCCUGCCGUGUGCUGAAGUAGUUGUAGAGUGUGCCUUNNNNNNCCGCGAUCCGGGCAAUGUUUGCUUCGGCGUAACCAACCUUGCCGACCAGUCUGGCCGUCGAGGAAAUGAUGGUGCGGCGCGUAUCCACGAUCUUUUCAGCGCGCGUCAUGCG
rnacentral:misc_RNA from 1 species